rnacentral:tmRNA from 1 species
GGGGAUAACUGGUUUUGACAGCAAGUAGAAGGGGUAUGUAAGCACGCCGAGCAUGGACAGCGCUCGUAAAUCGAGUCCAAAAAACUAACUGGCAACACUUCUUAUGCUCUCGCUGCCUAAUCGAAGUAUAGUAGAUUGGCGUCAUUUCGGCACAAGGUGCUGAAACGAGACAUCGCUCCAAGCCAAGCCUUGCGGCUGAUAGGAUAUAGCGGUGCGGAAAUAGCAAGGAUAGUUAGCGCAAGCUGCGAUGCACUAACGAAUCAUUAGCAGAUAAGGCAACGGUUGGUGGCUUGGGUCUUGCCGCUGCUCGAAAACCAAAACCAAGAUAAGCGUGUAGAAAGCAUAUCGAUUCCUUGUUUGGACGCGGGUUCGACUCCCGCUAUCUCCACU